rfam:Dictyocaulus viviparus strain HannoverDv2000 D_viviparus-1.0_Cont428.7, whole genome shotgun sequence.
CCAACGGCCCUCAUUAGGGCCACAAUCUUAUUCGAAUACUUACGCU